rnacentral:rRNA from 1 species
GAUGAACGCUGGCGGCGUGCCUAAUACAUGCAAGUCGAGCGAACUGAUUAGAAGCUUGCUUCUAUGACGUUAGCGGCGGACGGGUGAGUAACACGUGGGCAACCUGCCUGUAAGUCUGGGAUAACUUCGGGAAACCGAAGCUAAUACCGGAUAGGAUCUUCUCCUUCAUGGGAGAUGAUUGAAAGAUGGUUUCGGCUAUCACUUACAGAUGGGCCCGCGGUGCAUUAGCUAGUUGGUGAGGUAACGGCUCACCAAGGCAACGAUGCAUAGCCGACCUGAGAGGGUGAUCGGCCACACUGGGACUGAGACACGGCCCAGACUCCUACGGGAGGCAGCAGUAGGGAAUCUUCCGCAAUGGACGAAAGUCUGACGGAGCAACGCCGCGUGAGUGAUGAAGCUUUCGGGUCGUAAAACUCUGUUGUUAGGGAAGAACAAGUACAAGAGUAACUGCUUGUACCUUGACGGUACCUAACCAGAAAGCCACGGCUAAC